rnacentral:rRNA from 1 species
AGAGUUUGAUCCUGGCUCAGAAUCAACGCUGGCGGCGUGCCUAACACAUGCAAGUCGAACGAGAAAGUGGGGGCAACCUGCGAGUACAGUGGCAGACGGGUGAGUAACACGUGAACAACCUACUUUCGAGUGGGGAAUAACACCGCGAAAGCGGUGCUAAUACCGCAUAACAUCUUUGGUUGCAUGAUCUGGAGAUCAAAACCGCAAGGUGCUUGAAGAGGGGUUCGCGGCUGAUUAGCUAGUUGGUGAGGUAACGGCCCACCAAGGCAACGAUCAGUAGCCGGCCUGAGAGGGCGGACGGCCACACUGGAACUGAGACACGGUCCAGACUCCUACGGGAGGCAGCAGUGGGGAAUUUUGCGCAAUGGACGAAAGUCUGACGCAGCAACGCCGCGUGGAGGAUGAAGGCCUUCGGGUCGUAAACUCCUGUCGAUGGGGACGAAAGCCCGCGAGGGUUUGACUGUACCCGUUGAGGAAGCCACGGCUAACUCCGUGCCAGCAGCCGCGGUAAUACGGAGGUGGCAAGCGUUGUUCGGAACUACUGGGCGUAAAGGGCGCGUAGGCGGCCUGACAAGUCAGAUGUGAAAGCCCCGGGCUCAACUCGGGAACUGCAUCUGAAACUGUUUGGCUUGAGUUCUGGAGGGGGUAGUGGAAUUCCCAGUGUAGCGGUGAAAUGCGUAGAUAUUGGGAGGAACACCUGCGGCGAAGGCGGCUACCUGGACAGAAACUGACGCUGAGGCGCGAAAGCUAGGGGAGCGAACGGGAUUAGAUACCCCGGUAGCCCUAGCUGUAAACGAUGGGCACUUGGUGUUGGGGGUAUUGAGUCCCUCGGUGCCGGAGCUAACGCGAUAAGUGCCCCGCCUGGGGAGUACGGUCGCAAGACUGAAACUCAAAGGAAUUGACGG